AGAACGAACGCUGGCGGCAGGCCUCAAACAUGCAAGUCUAGGGGGUGUAGCAAUACAUCACCGGCGGACGGGUGCGUAACGCGUGGGAAUGUACCUAUUGGUUCGGAACAACUGAGGGAAACUUCAGCUAAUACCGGAUGAGCCCGAAAGGGGAAAGAUUUCUCGCCAAUAGAUCAGCCCGCGUCCGAUUAGCUAGUUGGUGGGGUUAAAGCCUACCAAGGCGACGAUCGGUAGCUGUUCUGAGAGGAAGAUCAGCCACACUGGGACUGAGACACGGCCCAGACUCCUACGGGAGGCAGCAGUGGGGAAUCUUGCGCAAUGCGCGAAAGCGUGACGCAGCAACGCCGCGUGGGGGAAGAAGGCUUUCGGGUUGUAAACCCCUUUCGAGUUGGGACGAAGCUUCUUCGGUGAAUAGCCGAACGGAGUGACGGUACCUUCACAAGAAGCACCGGCUAACUACGCGCCAGCAGCCGC
rnacentral:rRNA from 1 species